ACUGUGAUAACUGAAGGAUGGCAGCCAUCUUGCCUUCCAUCAAAGGAGUCCCGUCAUGCCCAGGAAGGAAGACUGAAGAUGAAGCGGGCAUGAGAAACAGCAGCGGGGACCUGCAGUCCCCUGGGUAAGCAGAAACCUGCUUACCCUGUUCCUGCAAUGUACCUCUCCUGGAACAUAGGGUAUGUUAUUCCCUCUGUCUUUGCCUUGUUUGUAACAUGGCGGGAAUAAGGAGGAGUUGGGCGGUUGCUUACAUGACAGGGUGAAGAUGGUUGCAUGGAGUGGACAUGUAUUCAGAUCUUCAGAACUUCUACAAUAGUGGUGCUAGAUAAGUGCUAAUUAUGAAUUAGCAUUUCUCAAGAGGUAUUCAGAGAAAUUUGUGCCAUUUUUUUAAAAAAAUUUCAAGAUUUUUAAAAGAUUUUUAAGAUUUUUUAAAAGAUUUUUAAGUAAUCUUUAUACCCAUCGUGGGGUUUGAACUCAUAACCUUGAGAUCAAGAGUCACAUUCUUCACCCCUGAGCCAGCCCCCCCCUUUUUUUCUUUCACUGUAAAAAGGUGUUUUUAUUAAAGCACAGGGACAGGACCCAUGGGCAGGAAGAGCUGCCCUGGGACUGUGAGGAGCAAUUGAUUUGCCAUUUUUAUAAAUGUAAGAGGUAACCUGAUUAGCUAGAUAUUUGUCAAUAGUAGAUAUUCGAGAUGAAAUUCAACUUAAAGGGAGGAAAAAAAGCCCUACAUGUUGAAUAACAUUGAUGAUAUUAUGAUGAAUAAAAUUAUAUUUUUGUGCUUAAGGAAUGGAUAGGGACACAUCAUGUUUCAGAAACAUAAAAAAUAAUUUAACAUCUAGCCUAAUUCAAAAAAUAUUUACUGAAUGCCCAUAUUGUUGCUGUCACCUUUACAUGAAAAUAAAAUGUAAAUAAUUUUAUUUCUAUCAAGGAUUGAGGACCACUCUGAAGUGGUAUCUAAACAUUUUGGGAGGUAAACCUAUGAAUACAACCCAGCAUCAGGUUUGCAUAGAAGACUAGGAAAUGUAACAGACCAUGUAUCUUUAGUCUGCAUCCCACGCUGGAGAGCGCUAUUUUGUUUGGGGUGGGGUUACUGGAGAAUCCAGGGUUUCCCACAUCCUUCAAGACCCCUAAGGAAGCUGUGUACAUGGUUCAGCAGCAGAUAGGAGUCAAAGUAUGUAAACUUAGUGUUAGCUCACAGACUGCUGCAAAGCUCCCAUAAUCUUACAUAGCUUAGCCUCAGUGCAUUAAACAGAGACUUCUUACCUCUUCUAUAUCUGGGAAUCUGACCAUCCUAGGGACAGAUGACUGGUGUAGGAACCCACGGCAGUGACCCAUAUGCUUGGACUAAGAGAUGACAGACCCUGCUGAGGUCAGGAUGUGCCUCCACAGGGUGAGAGGAGCCAGGGAAGGAAAAGACAUAUGUGUGACCCUUUAGUAUACAAAGACCAUACUGGCUAAUCAGUAGAGCCCAGUUAAUGUCUUGGACCUGGGCCAAGUGUAUUAUCAAGUCCUUCACUGAGAGAGAAUGAGGAAAAAGGGGAACCGGAGGUGUGAAUGGAGAGGCAAAGCUUUGUCUUCCCAUCCAGAGAGGGUCAGUUUCACCCUUCAUUGUGGGAUCCUCAGACGUUCCUGGUCAUGGCAUUCCUUUGCUGGUUCACAUAAUUCUCUUUAACCCGUCUUCUUCUCCCAAAGAGGGACCAUUCCUUGGGUAACCCCUUGAGCCAUACCUGCUUGGCGCUGUAUUGUUUCCCACACGGCAUUGACCACAUUAUGGCCCAGUACCUUCACAUGUCCUCAUACAUUCAGAAUUUUGAAACUGCAGGCUAGAUGAUGGUUUUGAUUAAUUAUAGGGAGCUGUAUAUUACACCAUGGGUCCUGAAAUUCCUUGGGAGUUUUCUGCUUCCUUAAACAGAAAGGGAAUUUCUGACAGAAACCCUGGAAGAACUUCUAAGAAAGGAAAGUUCUGGGAUUGGUGAAUUCUCAAGUAACUUGAAACAUUCCUAAUUUUUAGUGUUCUAGCAGGUGGAAAAAAGUGCCUCAGGGAGCGACGUGUUGUGUAAUCAUUGGCCUUGGUGAGGAUUUCACCACCUUCUUUGAUCUUCCUGUUUUCCAGUUACUAGUUUUAUAAAAAUUCAGGUUUUAUACUUACUGCACUCUGAUGCCAGGAUCCACACCCGAGCCUGUGGGAUGCAGCAGAGCUGAGUGUUGGAUGUAGUUUGGAAUCACCCUGGGCACUUGGACAAAUGGAGCUAUACUGGGUCCUGUUUCCUGUCAACAGGAAAGCCCGAGGCUUGGUCUGUGGCAAGAGCUCUGGGAGGCUUGCCUAGGCCUGGAGGUCUUUGGCAUCUUCAAGGCAGUUCAUCGAUGUAAGGUGUUCCAACAGGUUGAGUGAGAAGAGAUGCAAGGAAAAUCUGACAGGGUUUUUCCACUGUUUUGAUUAAAACACAAUGUGUUUGGUUGGUGUAUUCCUUACAUUCUUCAUUUAGGUAUGUAAGAAGGGACUUAAACAUAGAAAUACCAUAUGAUCCAGCAUUCCAGUCCACUUCCGGUUAUAUACCCAAACAGAUGUUUGUAUACUCAGGUUCACGGCUGCAUUAUUCACAGUAGCCCAAAGGUAGAAGCAGCGAUGGACGAAUGGAUGAACAGAGGGUGUAUGGGUGCAAUGGAAUAUUACUCAGCCUUAAAAAAGAAGAAAAUUGAGGCACGUGCUGCUACUUGGAUGGAUCUUGAUGAUCGUUUAGUGAAGUGAGCUAGACACAGAAGGAUAACUACUCUGUGACUUCUCUGGGAUGAGGUUCUUGGAGUAGUCCAAUUCCUGAUGCCAAAAAGUGGAACGGUUGUUGCCCAGGGCCGGGGGUAGGGGUGGGGGGCUCAUGUUUAAUGGGUGCAGAGGUAUUGGGGACGACGAAAGAAUGGAGAUGGAUGGAACAACAGUGUGAAUGUACUUCACGCCACAGAACUGCACCCUUAAGAAUAGUUCCAGGCUACAUUUUAUGUUUAUUUUACCACAAUUUAAAUAAAAAGAAGGCAUUUCAGGGUAAAAGCACUGUUGCAGCCCACAACGGGAGUGAGCUGAUUGCUCUCUUCCUUAGUCUUCAAUGUGAAGAUAGCAGUUUCAAAUAAGAAUUUAAAAUGUUAACAUGUAAUUUUCAUGUCUUUUUGCAUUUAAACUUCUCUAGUCUGUAGACUGUUAGACAUAUUUCCAGGGUUUCUGGCAUAACUUAGCAUAGUUAUAAAAUUUUGUAAAAUACAAAGAAACUGAAGCCUACAGUGAGGACUAAACAAAAAAUGGGAAGGGGGCCUCAACAGGCAGUGAGGUGAUGGGGCAUCUCUUGCUGACUUUAUACAGUUUCUGGUGAAAUCAGGGUGGCUCACUGGGUCUCUCCGUGUUCCAGUUGCCUCAUUAGCCCACUUCUUUGGAAUUGUGGUAAAGGUGAAAUCGCAUAUAUUAUAUAUGAGAUACAGAGAUACGUGUGCGUGUACUGUGUAUCAUGAAUUAUAUGUACACAUCGUUCUGUGUACAUAUGUGGCCAUAUUGAUGACCAAAGGAAUGUUCGAGUGUAGUAUAUUCUCAAAAUGUAAAAAUAACAAUGUCUGAAGAGAAUAGCUCCAGUAUCUCUAAAUAAAUCAAACUUCUAAACAUCCUAGUUGGAUUUGUAACUCGGACCCCACCAGCCUCAUUAGAAAGAGUGUUCUAAGCUUGCUGAUGAUCAUGAAAGAGUUCUGUUACUACAUGUCUAAAUUUGAAAAUAAAUAAAAGCAUUGAGACAAGAAACAGGCAGUGAUAAUCUUCUCUCAUGGAUCAUGUUUUAUUAGCCAUGAGUAAAAAGCAUUUGUAGACCUUAUCUGCUUCAUCACAAAGCUCUUAAUUGGGGCCAUUCUUUGCAAAUCAGAUUGUCAUUUUGUACUAACUGCCCCUACAAGAUCCCAUGCAGUAUUCCGCCUUGGUCAUACCCUGCGAUUUGGAGCCAUGGGGCUGAGCUCUUGACCCUGCCACACCAUGUUCAGAUAUUUGGCGAUACCUCAUACAUAGUUAGGUUUUCUGGCAAUUAUAAAUGUGUCAUUAUUAAAUGGAUUUAUUUUUGAGACAGCAAGCAUCUUUGUGCUUCUGUGCUUCUUGUAGAGGAUUCCCUUCCCCCAGUUGCUUCCUUAAAACUCUGCAUUCAUAUUUACAUAACCUGUCCCUCUCAUACAGUUUAUUCUCACCAUUACCUUUCAGUUAAUCUUUUACCACACAGAUUCUCAUCAAGCAUGGGCAAGAGUGAGGGAGGCACCAAAACACUUUUUUCUUUUGUAUCCAAACAUGACGAUUGUGAAGAUUCCCGUUGACAGAGAAUUUCAAGUGGGAGAGUGUGCCUGGAACAUUGUCAACUGGAGUUUUUUAAAAUUGUUUGAAAGGGUUGGGGGUUGUAAUAACAUGCUUCUGAUGUAAUAUAUGUUAAAAACAAUUCACAUAAUAGAAAUGGAGUUGAGUAAGCAGAUUAUAUUUUUAUGCAUUUGGACUAUUGCUGUACUUGGUUUUCCAUGAGAUAAUGAGGAGCCAGGUAGUGCUAUUAAGAAAAGGGAAGAUGUGGAGAACAGUUCCAAUUGAGUCAGUGGGAAACUUGUUUUCAUUUUCUAUUUUGAAGUCAAAUUCCAGGUAUAUUCCCUAUUAGUAGACACUCGUUCCUCCUUUUUUUUUUUGUUCCACUUUGAAAAUGAAUACCUUCAGAUUGGGACUAUCUUAGGGUCAGUGGGGGUGGCUGCUUGGAGCACUUCGUUGAGACUCGACGCUACAUCUGGUCCAUAGUAAGGAGCACUGUACCACCCAUCCAUGUCCACCACUGUCUGCCGUGGGCAUCAGACUGAGAAGCGGUGGUACCUUUGUAGCCCGCACACUGUUGUUACUAGGGAGGUUUAGAUCCUCUGGAAGGUGGAAAUUCUCAAAGUCACAUUGAUAAAGACUAGAUUUCUGGGAAGCUCUGUCAUUGGGAAUAUAGACACCCUUUUUUUAUGGGGACGAUAUCAAGGAGUUUUAAUUAAAAUGUCUGCCAAUAAAAUGUCUAGACCUAAAUCUUUCUUUUAGUAUCACUCACUGAUACCUGUUUAAAAAAAAAAAAUCCUGACUCACGGUGCAAGUCUUAAAUUUUUCUCAUACCCUAUUCCAAAACCAUAAAAUGUGCCACUCUUUAGUAAAUGCAUCUUGGACAAUCUCUUGUGUGAUUUAUAUAUACAGAAUUUUGUUUAAGCAGUUGGAUCAAAUAGAAGAGACUUCCUUUUUGCUUGAGAUGGGUCCACAGUUGUUGUGCACCCAGGUGCUCAUUUCACCUGAACGCCGAUCUUCAGCGUAGAAGAGUGUGCCUCAGUUUGUAAUGGAGGAACCUGGGGAUGCUCAUGGCGGUCCCUAAGCCACACAGCUAGCAAGUGGUAAGAGGGAGGGUCUGAGUCCAGAACAGGAAAAGUAUAGGAAAUUAAGUUAAUACAAAUCCAAUUUUGCUCUUAAAUGUUUAGUAGGUGAGACUUUGAAAAGGGAUUGAACCCAGCAUUUGUAGAAAUGCUGUAAAACUUAACCACCAUACACGCUGCCUUCCCCAUUCCAUUCUUGCCUUCUGUUGUUCACCCAAGCUGUGCAGCUGCAAUUAACCUUUUUUAAAAUGAAAAUUUGAUCACGGCACCAAAAAAAAGCCCUCUGAUGGCUUUCGUUACUCUGGGACCAAGACUAUUGUCCUUAACUUACCUGGAGGGCCUGGGUAGGGUGCCUUUCACUCCUCUCUGAUCAUCUUUUGCACCCAUUUGGUUGGCUCACCCUUUGGGGAAUGGAGUCUCCUGCAUUUUCUUCUUCCAGGAUACCCUUGCUAUUCACUCCACCUGGUGGUUUCUUAGCCUCUGGUUAAAUAGUAAUUCUCAGAGACCCCUUUCCUGAUGCCAGCUGUGUCCAGUCUUGUGGCACUCUGUGCUUUUUCUUCAGAGCACUGGUCACCAUUACACGGGUGUCUGUGGGGUUAUGUGUAUUUGAUGUCUCAGACUGGGAGUUCCUUGAGGACAAGGACCAUGUUUCUAUCCGUUGCUAUGUUCACAGGGCUUGCAGUGUGACUUGCCGUAGAAAUCUAAGGUAGUGUGAGAUGCUGAGGGGUCUCUCCUCUUUUCUAACGAGGUGAGAAGAGCACCCAGCUAAAAACAAGGUGUUGAAAAUCCCCACUUUUGACAUUUAGGUACUUAAUCCAUUUUGAUUUUAUUUGUGUGUAUGGUGUUGAAAGUUGCCCAAUUUCAUUCUCUUCCUUGUAGCUCUCCAGUUUUCCAACUAAUAUAACUGUGUUAACCACACUAAAAACAAAAAAUAAAAUUCAGGCUUACCAAAAAAAAACUCCCCGCUUUUCUCUGGUCAGAGGACUGCAGCUCUGUGGCCAGCAUUUUCCUGCUGCUUUUUCCAAAGGUCAUUUCAGCAGAACCAGUUCUUGAAUUGCAUUCAUCCCUCACACCCAAGUAAAAGAGCUCAAAGAGGGGGAGAUGUCAACUCGGGGCGGGACCUCCCUCAUUGAAAGAAGGGUGCGUUCAACUUGGAGAUCAUCUUAUGUCUGAAAAUUGGUGAGCGUUAUCCCGGCGUCAUGCCCAGCCUCUGCAAAGCUAAGAGGAGUGGAGAGAAGAAAGUGAGGACAAAUUGGGUGGGUAAUAGAUGUGAGGUUUCUUGGAACUGUGACCUCAAGUGAAUCCACAGAAAAUGCCUGGGGACUUAAGCUUUCUGGCUAGUGCCCAACAGAAGAGCACUCCAGAACCCCUGAAGGGAACCCUGGCAGUGUGUCUCUCAGAUGUGCCCUCCCAGGAGCAAGCCAGGAGGAUAUGGAUGGUAUCCCAAAGUGCAGGCCACUUGCCAAGCAGAAAACACCCCCAACAAGGGUGUGUCAGGGGUGGGUGAUCUUGGGAUUCCCUUUUGAACCUCACGAAAUGGCAACCCAGCUUUCAGGUGGAGCUUUUUUGAAAGCUGUCAUUUCCUCAGAACCAGCUCUCAAAUUCAUUGUGGACAGUAAUGAAGCAAUCGGAGAAUCAGCUCAGGGAGAUGGAUGGGGAGGGGUGCAGGUGAGAAGAGACCACCUCACUUUCCCAUUGCACGUCCCUAGAGCAUCGAGACCUGCUUCAGCCGGAGAGAGGUCCAGAGCCUCGUACUGAACAUGAGGGGAAAGUUAGCAAACGAAAUGCUGAGCUACUCAGAUCGGGAGGCCAAUUGGAGAUGUUCUUACUACUCAAGAGGAAAGGGCAGAUUAUACAGAGCACAAAAGAAGUCAUUGGAAAUAAUUUCAUGUUUUAUUCUUCAACAGAGUUGAAAUUCACAAGUUAAAAUGAUUCAUUGAAAGAAUAAAAGGGCUAUGACAUGCCCUUUCACACAGAAGCCUGCCUGUCAGUAUUCCUUUCCUAUAAAGUCCCUCACCUGCUGCCUCUAACAUGUGAAGGAGUGGAAAUUCCAGUGCAGUCUGAACACUUCUGGGGGCCUGUGGAUUCCCACUGCCGCCCUUGCUCCCUGCAGAAGCAAGGAGGCAAUUUAGCUAGACAGCAAAAUGCAAUAAGGAAAUUUGCUCACAAUCACCUGCCACCUUUGCCUGAAGGAAACUUGCAGGAGGGCAGGUAGGAGUUUUCCAGUGAUGCUUCUAGGUUACCAUCCAGGGGUGUGAAUUCAAGACCACUAGAUUCACUAAGAAUAUCCCAGUGUGGGGUGGGAGGGGGGAUAAAAUAUAUAAAGGGGAUUAAGUACACAUACCUUGAUGAACACUAAGAAACGUAUUGAAUCAUUAUAUUGUAAACCUGAAACUAAUAUAAAUUAAUUUGAAUAAAAGUUUUUUAACAGUAUCACAAUGUCGAAUCAGCUGGCUUCAACCAAAGCAGCAAAAAACUUGCUGAUGCACCCGCCUUUAAUAAUGUUUGUGCCAUCUGGAAAGCAAGUUGUAAAUGACCGAUGGGAAUCUACUUGUUAACCCUGUCAUUGAGGAUAGGAACCUUAGAGAUCAUUUGCUCUCGCAUUUUUCAAGCGGUGGGUUUGAAAUCAAGUAUGUCUUAAGCAGCAAGUAGAAAAUAAUCAGAAUGCAUGCAUGUGGUGAGGAUAAGAUUACGUCAUGAAACUUCACAGUUGCAUGCUUGAGUGUACGUUGGUGGGUCUGUGUAGUGGGACAUAAUGCAUUAAAUUCACAAGUCGCUGAUGGUAGACUCUAGAUCAUCUCAUUAUGUAUUUUACAUUUUGGAACACUUAGCACGGUGAAGAUACUUGUCCAAGGUCAGUAGCAACAGCUAGGAACUUGUCUCACCAGCCUGGGGAGAACAGCAAUAGCUCAUACUUAGUGAGUGAUUACUGUGUGCCAACAACUGCCCUUAAAUAUUUCAUAGGGAAAGGGGGUAAAUUGACUGCGUUUGUUUCAAGUAAAGUGUGCAUGGCUCAACAGUGACAGAUCUGUGCUGCAGUCCACAGCUAGAUAAUAAAAUACAGAAGUUGUGAAUAAACAUUUAAAAUUUUCACAGCAUGACAAUUUUAUGACUGUUGAAUAUAGUAAUAAAACAUUGGCUUGCACUUGGUCUUUGAAUUUUUUUCCUAGCAGUUAAUUUCUACAUAUUUUAUGAAAAUUAUCAGUCCAUGAUGGAUUGGAAAUAAGAACAAACUGGUCUUUGACCACAGAUUGAGAAGCACUGACGUAGACCCAGCAAAGCCCACACACCUUUGCCCCUUUUUAUUCCUUUUGAAGUGCCAGGGGCUCACAACAACCGCUGGAUGGGGCAGAUGGCUGGAUACAAGGCUCCCAGCAGUAGAGAUGGGGUUACUGGCUAUCUAGGAGUGAGUUGGAGGACUUGAUUCUAGAAAUAGAUCUCUUGUCUUGGGGGUGGCUAAUAGAAAGGCACUAACACCAAUAAACACUUCAAAGCUUUCCUUCAGAACUUGUGGAAGUGGGACUGAUAGGGGAAGACAGAAAGAGCUCCUUCCUUUUAAAGUUGUCCCCAUGAGGAAAAGUUCGACACUGAACAAAUUAAAUUCUCAUUUCCGGAGACUCUCAGAGUGGUAAGAACCAGAGGGACGGUGCUUCAGAGGUGUCUGGGAAUAUAGAGCUGACUGAAGGGAGCCUGUGUGUGUCCUUGACUUGCAGGCUCUGUGGAGGGAAGCACACUUCAUAAAUCCUUUUGGGCUGCUUUUUGGCUAAAUCCUCAGAUUUGUACGAAGAACUGUUUUGAGUGAAUCAGUGUGUCUUUUGUUUGCAUCUUCUGGAAUCCUGAAGACUCCAGCCAAGGAGUUAGCAAGGCUGAGAACUGGACCGAGCAUUUAAUCAGUUGAACGCUUCCUUAUGUUCCCCUGGUUUGUUCUCAUAACAAGUGACCUUAGGCCAACUCCUAGCAACACAUGAUUGUGGAAUGUUCCCUCCUGAGGAAUACAGCCUUAUUUUUUCAUUCUGAACACAGUGAAAAUCUGAAAAUUCAGAUGAGUUUGGACAAUAAUGAUAAUGUAAGAUACUGUACCUGCUGUGUGCCCAGCAUUUUACAUAUGUGAUUACUAAAUGUUAAAAUAGCCCUGGUCAAAUUUUGGGGGAAAACUAAAGCUUAGAAAAGUUUGGUCAAUCACCUGAUGUAAUUGCAUCCAAGCCCCAGUUCUCGCCUUUCUGUAUUUCCUACAGAUUCUUAGCAGCAUCCUUGCAUAAAUGAGGCAAUGCCAGAACCCCAGAGUCAUGCCAUUUUCAUUGAGUCUUCCACUUGAAAACGGUAUCAAGAUCUACUCCCUUGUGGUUUUGAAUUUGAAUACAUGUCCCCUAGUCAGUUAUUUGGGAAUGUAGGUCCUGCGAACUCUGAAGUCUCCAUGGUAUUAACAGCUAACAUUGACAUUGAGGACAUUUUACUGAACCUGGGCGCAAUUAACUUUUAUCACGUUAGCUUACUGUCUCCUUUCUCAGAAACUGUCCCCUCUCCUUCCCUGUCCCUGUCCCUGCUGAGUUUUCUCACAGCACUUUCACAGAGUACGUUCACACUAACAUACUCCAGUUUACUUCCUUUGUGUAUUGCCAUCUUCCCCCACCCCCCACCCCGGCCCCACUUAGCAUAUAAGUUCCAGAAGGGCUGUGUGUGAGCUCACUGACGGAAGCUCCCAGCAAGUAGAACCAGGCCUGGUCCAUAAUUCGUGCUCACGUAUCUGUGGAAUGAAUGAAUGAACCUAGAAUGAAUGAACUCUAGUUACCUAGAGGUAACUGUCACUUUCAUCCCCGUCUUACAUGUAAGCAAACUGAAGUUCACGGUGUUCACGAAUAGGCUCAAAUACAGAGCAGUUCUUUGUUUACCUGGAAGUCUAUUUUCAAACGUUCGUGGUUAUAGCUUCCUUUCUCCGCUAUAUUGUCGGAAUGAGAAAUUGGACAUGAGAAAGAGUUUGGUUUGGCACUAUAGGUAUCCUCCUUAGAGGUGAUAAGCAUUAUAUAUUUGUGAAAUACAGAGAUUGGGCCUUUCGUGUACUGUAGGAACCAUAGCUGGUAUUGAGGUAAGUAAGAUGUCUUUCCCCUGCGUCCUCUUGGGGUGCCCCCAAGAUUUAUAAUGCACCGAAGGAACCGGGCUAUAUAAAUGACUUGCUAAUUCAAGGCUGCUUCUGUUGGAGCCAUCGUGGGCCUCUCCUGACACAGACUUGCAGAGUUGUGAAGGACCUGGGGGAUGUCCAUGCCAGCCUACCCACCUCUGCCCCUAAGUGCCAGGCUCUGGGACUCAGGCCCUCCUUCACUGGACAGCCUGCUCCACUGCUAGACAGCUGCCUCUUCAGAUGACUCUCUGAAUUGUAUCUCCAAGGGACUUCGACCCAUGAGCCUGAGUUCUGCUGUCCAGGGAAUUACAGAAUAAAUGACGUCAUCCUUUCACCUAUCAGCCCUUCAAAUAUUGUUUACUUGUGCUCAUUCUUCAGUUUUUCUUGUCCCAGUCCAUGAGACGUUUCUUACAUGGCAUCUUUCCAGCCACUUUCCCAUCCUGCUUGCUCCCUUUUGUGUGCUCUCCAGUUCAUUCAUGUCCAGCGUAAAUGUGUCAUGCAGCUGUCCAGGUGUGGUGUUAGGGUUGCAUCCAUUGUGUUUUCACAGUCAUGCUACCCUGUUGGCUCAUCCACGCUCCCGAAGGCCCUUAGUGUAAACUAUUGUGGAACUCAAGUGGGAAGAACAUACUGCACAGAUGGAACCAAGGAUUAGUGAGGAUUAUGAAAAAUUACAGUGAUGUCUGUGGACAUUCUGUCCCUCAUUAAUCUGUGUACACCUGCUGCCACACCCAAGGUAGUUAGGAGGAGAGCAAGCAUUUAUUGCACGCAGACUAUGUGUAAGACGAUGUCUUCAGACAUUUUACAUUUACUACCUGUUUAACUUUCCAAACAACCAUAGUCACACCUAUUAUUAAACUCUAUGUUACACUCAGGAGACCGAGAUUAGGAGAGAUGAGCAACAUGCUUAAGGUCACAUAGCUUGUAAUUGGCGGAGUGUGAGUAUGAGUCUAUGUUUGCCUCCAAAUCCCAUGUUUGAUAAGGUGCCAAGGCUCCUGUUUUCAUUAUCUCUGAAAAACAUGGACAAGAAGAUAUCUUAAAGGAGUUAUGGUAUCUUCUUCCUAUCCUGCAAAGAAGGAAAGGAUCUGAAUUACUGUGUUUCUGGUCUGUGCCAGUUGUGCCAUAUCUGUUUAUCUCAUUUAGUCUUCAGGACAAUUCUGUGAGGAGAACAUUAUUGUCAUGACCAUUUUGUAGGUGAAAAAACCAUGGCUCAGAGAAGACAAAUCUAGGUCUUUGUCACACAACUACUUGCAUUUAGAGUCAACAUGCUUUCUCCCGCAUUAUGCCACUUCUCAAAGAGGGUUUUCUUUUUUUCUUUCUUUUUUAAAAUUUUUAAUUAACAUAUAUUAUUAGCCCCAGGGGCACAGGUCAGUGAAUCGCCUGGU